CUAGUACUCCCUCCGUCCGGAAGUAGUUGUCAUCAAAAUGGAUGAAAAGAGAUGUAUCUAGAAGUUCUAGAUACAUCUCUUUUCAUCCAUUUUGAUGACAACUAUUUCCGGACGGAGGGAGUAGAUC
rfam:Triticum aestivum genome assembly, contig: Triticum_aestivum_CS42_TGACv1_scaffold_032533_1BL